GCCCUUGUAGUUCAAUGGACAGAACGAAAGCUUCCGAAGCUUUUAAUGUGGGUUCAACUCCCACCAAGGGUACUA
rnacentral:tRNA from 1 species